GCUUUGAAGAAAGUUCUUCAAGGCCAGUUUGCGCUAUUAAACUUGGAAAAAUACAUCACCAUAAUAAUUAACUCCCGCUACUCUGAUGAGCGUGGUCGUUCUCCUUUUCAAAUCAGCAAAAAGGCUUUUUCAAUUAUGGCCGUGUUCGGAUGGGGAGUCAGAAAGGGCGCGCCUUAUUACGAACAAUUCCAGCAAUUGACGGGCCGUCUCGAGGACUCUGGUAUUAUUGAAUAUUGGACGAAAGAAGUAAUUACACGAAACGUCAGGGAGAAGAGGAAUGAUAUGAAGGCAUCUUCAUACUAUCACACGACAGACUUCUCAGACGGUAUUAGAAAAUCUCUGAGGUGCCCGCAGAGCGGCAGGAUUUGUGGUGGCGUCUCAGAACGUAGAACGUCAUGGAAGACACUUUAACUAGAUAUAUGUGAAAUUUCAAGUAUGGAUUGUUACACAGUAAGGAAGAGGCCACAGAUGUUCAAUGUAGAAGGUGGGGGGGAGCUUAGUGCU